UUCAGUCCCAUCCCCUGACCUCCAGGGAGAGGGGUGCGGCUGGAGGUUGAAUGUCAAUGAGCAAUUAGCAAUGAAGCCUCCAUAAAAAUCCAAGACAAGCCAGAAAACUUCUGGGCUGGGGAAGACAUGGAAGUUCUGCUAUGAGAAGGCGUUCAGAAAGUGCAGCGACCGCAUCCUGCUGGCUCAUGAAUUAGGAGAAAAAGAGGUUUUCAGGAAAGCAGUAGACAAGUUCCUUCAGCUCAACACGAUGCCACUGGCCCGGGCAGGCACCCACGGGUAAAGACGCUCCCGAUCAUCAGAAGGUGCCUGUAUUACUAUGCCAUCUUCGGGACCUAGGGAUUACAAACAAAGUUGCCAUCAGCACCGCUCAGCACACAGGACAGGCCACACACCUCCUCUCUCUGAUUUUAGGGCAUCUGCUGAUCGCUCACUGCAGGGGACAGAAGCUGAGUAAAGAUAGGAUGAGCAGGAAGCACAUACUCUGCACACCAAGCCCCUGAACUUGCGAGUAGAAGGCAGCAGAUGUGCCAACCUCCCUCCCUUCUUCCUCCUUCAGGGACAUUCUCCAGAGGACUAUGGCCAAAACUGUGAGGUCUGCUCUGUACUUCCAUCCCGGGUAGCAGAGGCCUGAUAUAACCCCAUCAACAUCACCUGGGUUCCAGGCCUGCCUUUGGCAGGUAACUGUACUGCGCAUGAUGACGAAGGGCCUUCUGGCCGUGUUUUGUGGGUCCACCACAAAACUGAUUCCCCUGGCAGGUGAAGAUGCCCACGGACCACCCCCCACAGACACCCUCAGGGGUGGGUUAAACCCUUGGGUGUUCCGCCAGCAUUUACUGCAGGUUUUUUGCUUCAUCCUUGUCUCACUGGGAACAGUGCAGCUUCCUGAGUUCUGGGACAGACCAAGAACUGGGCACAGGCCCGGGCCAUCGCCCAAUUCCAGUUACUGCCGGAACAACCCACCUUGGGAACAACGCAGAUGCUAGAAACCCUGACAGUGCAUACUGCCAACCGCAUCAGGAGGGCCUGGUUUUGUUGCUUCCAUGCUUCACAAGAAAUAAAAGGCCUACUGAAACCAC